rnacentral:lncRNA from 1 species
CUCAAAGAGGUAAGCUCCACCCUUAAGAAGCUUCACAGGCCCCAUUAGAGGACCCACCCCAUAGACUAUGGCCUUCAUGUAUACGAAAGGCUUCGCUUCCUUCACAGAGAAAGGAAAUAAUGAACAGAAAUUAUUUCUGAGAGUACUGGGCACAUUACCAACCCUGAGGCAAGAAGAGAAAAUCAAAGGGCCAGAAUCAGUGCAGUGAUGUGGCACCCAGCUGUACAGAGAGUGGAGUUUUCUGGCUAUGUCCUGGAAAACACUAUAUUGGAAGCAAAUGACAAAGUGCCCUGUUUGAGUCAGUUUUACCAGAACAGUCCUGUGAAUGUGUAAGUGCAUACUGCCAGAAGUGUGUAUCCAGUUUGUGUACAAAGAACUGUUUUAAUAUAUAUACACAUACAUACACAGACUAGGGGCUAAUGUCUUUUAUUAAAUU